rnacentral:rRNA from 1 species
UGGGAAACUGGGUCUAAUACCGGAUAUGACUCCUCAUCGCAUGGUGGGGGGUGGAAAGCUUUUGUGGUUUUGGAUGGACUCGCGGCCUAUCAGCUUGUUGGUGGGGUAAUGGCCUACCAAGGCGACGACGGGUAGCCGGCCUGAGAGGGUGACCGGCCACACUGGGACUGAGACACGGCCCAGACUCCUACGGGAGGCAGCAGUGGGGAAUAUUGCACAAUGGGCGCAAGCCUGAUGCAGCGACGCCGCGUGAGGGAUGACGGCCUUCGGGUUGUAAACCUCUUUCAGUAGGGAAGAAGCGAAAGUGACGGUACCUGCAGAAGAAGCGCCGGCUAACUACGUGCCAGCAGCCGCGGUAAUACGUAGGGCGCAAGCGUUAUCCGGAAUUAUUGGGCGUAAAGAGCUCGUAGGCGGUUUGUCGCGUCUGCUGUGAAAGACCGGGGCUCAACUCCGGUUCUGCAGUGGGUACGGGCAGACUAGAGUGCAGUAGGGGAGACUGGAAUUCCUGGUGUAGCGGUGAAAUGCGCAGAUAUCAGGAGGAACACCGAUGGCGAAGGCAGGUCUCUGGGCUGUAACUGACGCUGAGGAGCGAAAGCAUGGGGAGCGAACAGGAUUAGAUACCCUGGUAGUCCAUGCCGUAAACGUUGGGCACUAGGUGUGGGGGACAUUCCACGUUUUCCGCGCCGUAGCUAACGCAUUAAGUGCCCCGCCUGGGGAGUACGGCCGCAAGGCUAAAACUCAAAGGAAUUGACGGGGGCCCGCACAAGCGGCGGAGCAUGCGGAUUAAUUCGAUGCAACGCGAAGAACCUUACCAAGGCUUGACAUGAACCGGUAAUACCUGGAAACAGGUGCCCCGCUUGCGGUCGGUUUACAGGUGGUGCAUGGUUGUCGUCAGCUCGUGUCGUGAGAUGUUGGGUUAAGUCCCGCAACGAGCGCAACCCUCGUUCUAUGUUGCCAGCGCGUUAUGGCGGGGACUCAUAGGAGACUGCCGGGGUCAACUCGGAGGAAGGUGGGGACGACGUCAAAUCAUCAUGCCCCUUAUGUCUUGGGCUUCACGCAUGCUACAAUGGCCGGUACAAAGGGUUGCGAUACUGUGAGGUGGAGCUAAUCCCAAAAAGCCGGUCUCAGUUCGGAUUGGGGUCUGCAACUCGACCCCAUGAAGUCGGAGUCGCUAGUAAUCGCAGAUCAGCAACGCUGCGGUGAAUACGUUCCCGGGCCUUGUACACACCGCCCGUCAAGUCACGAAA